AUGGACCAAUCCAUCCCUUUUUCCCGUGCAUAUGCAUCAGACUCGGAUGACGAUGGUCCCGAUGAAGAAGUUGAUGAGGAGGGGUUCACGCCGAAGGAGGCCGAAGCAUUCAAGAAGGUAUUCGGGCGGGAUCACAAGACACCAUUGUUCAAGGAGCUUAGUCUCGCGGAUGAAGCCGUUGUGGAUGGUGGCAAAUGCAUAUCUCUUGGAGCUAGGCCAAGUUCUCAC
rnacentral:rRNA from 1 species